GACUUCCGGAGGUGGCGCCAACGGCAAUGGCGGAAUCCCUCUAACCCAGAGGGAGAUCGCUCCACAGAAAUCGGGUCUAAAACCGCUUCGGCGCAGCGGGGACCCUUCAAACCACAGGCGGGUGAAGCCUGUGACCCUGGGACUCGGCGGGCACUGUUUGCGCCCCCCCGGUCUGCAAAGGAACCCGGCAACGGGCUCCGGAACAGAGCGGGGAAGUGAAGGCGCUGUGCUGUGAGUCGUCUGCUUCUUUUGUGGAGUGAAGCCGCGUAGCUGUUGCCGGAGAGCGCUGCCUUUUUUCCUGGACAAUUCGGACUUUAAAACAAAUAUCCGUGAGUACCCAGAAUUUGGACAAAUUGGGAUACUAAAGGAAGAUUAGUGAAAAGGGCAGAAUUGGACUAU